rnacentral:tRNA from 1 species
GCCCGCGUAGCUCAACGGUGGAGCGUCGCUUUCGUAAAGCGAAGGAUGUCGGUUCAAAUCCGACCGCGGGCUCCA